rnacentral:rRNA from 1 species
GCUGGAUUCGCUAGUAAUCGCGCAUCAGCCAUGGCGCGGUGAAUACGUUCCCGGGCCUUGUACACACCGCCCGUCAAGCCAUGGGAGCCGGGGGUGCUUGAAGUGCGUCGCCGCGAGGCGCGCCCUAGAGCAAAACCGGUGACUGGGGCUAAGUCGUAACAAGGUAUC